GACGAACGCUAGCGGGGUGAUUACCAAAUGCAAGUCGAACGAGUGGCGCACGGGUGGGUAACACGUGGUUUACCUGCCCUUCAUUUCGGGAUAAGCCUGGGAAACUGGGUCUAAUACCGUAUAGUGUGGGAUGGGUCAGCGGCCUAUCAGCUGUGUGGUGGGGUAAUGGCUACCAAGGGGCGACGGGUAGCCGGCCUGAGAGGGUGGACGGCCACAUUGGGACUGAGACACGGCACAGACUCCGACGGGAGGCAGCAGUGGGGCAUAUUGCACAAUGUGAGCAAGCCUGAUGCUGCCAUGACGCGUGUAUGACGAAGGCCUUAGGGUUGUAAAGUACUUUCAGCAGGGAGGCGUUACCCGCAGAAGAAGAACCAACUAACUCCGUGCCAGCCGCCGCGGUAAUAC
rnacentral:rRNA from 1 species